AGAGUUUGAUCCUGGCUCAGGAUGAACGCUAGCUACAGGCUUAACACAUGCAAGUCGAGGGGCAGCAUUUUAGUUUGCUUGCAAACUAAAGAUGGCGACCGGCGCACGGGUGAGUAACACGUAUCCAACCUGCCGAUAACUCGGGGAUAGCCUUUCGAAAGAAAGAUUAAUACCCGAUGGUAUAAUUAGACCGCAUGGUCUUGUUAUUAAAGAAUUUCGGUUAUCGAUGGGGAUGCGUUCCAUUAGGCAGUUGGUGAGGUAACGGCUCACCAAACCUUCGAUGGAUAGGGGUUCUGAGAGGAAGGUCCCCCACAUUGGAACUGAGACACGGUCCAAACUCCUACGGGAGGCAGCAGUGAGGAAUAUUGGUCAAUGGGCGCAGGCCUGAACCAGCCAAGUAGCGUGAAGGAUGACUGCCCUAUGGGUUGUAAACUUCUUUUAUAUGGGAAUAAAGUUUUCCACGUGUGGAAUUUUGUAUGUACCAUAUGAAUAAGGAUCGGCUAACUCCGUGCCAGCAGCCGCGGUAAUACGGAGGAUCCGAGCGUUAUCCGGAUUUAUUGGGUUUAAAGGGAGCGUAGGUGGACAGUUAAGUCAGUUGUGAAAGUUUGCGGCUCAACCGUAAAAUUGCAGUUGAUACUGGCUGUCUUGAGUACAGUAGAGGUGGGCGGAAUUCGUGGUGUAGCGGUGAAAUGCUUAGAUAUCACGAAGAACUCCGAUUGCGAAGGCAGCUCACUGGACUGCAACUGACACUGAUGCUCGAAAGUGUGGGUAUCAAACAGGAUUAGAUACCCUGGUAGUCCACACAGUAAACGAUGAAUACUCGCUGUUUGCGAUAUACAGUAAGCGGCCAAGCGAAAGCAUUAAGUAUUCCACCUGGGGAGUACGCCGGCAACGGUGAAACUCAAAGGAAU
rnacentral:rRNA from 1 species